rnacentral:rRNA from 1 species
AACGCGGACUUCGGUCUGGCGACGAGUGGCGAACGGGUGAGUAAUGCAUCGGAACGUAUCCAUUUGUGGGGGAUAGCCCGGCGAAAGCCGGAUUAAUACCGCAUACGCCCUGAGGGGGAAAGUGGGGGACCGCAAGGCCUCACGUUAUUGGAGCGGCCGAUGGCUGAUUAGCUAGUUGGUAGGGUAAAGGCCUACCAAGGCGACGAUCAGUAGCUGGUCUGAGAGGACGAUCAGCCACACUGGGACUGAGACACGGCCCAGACUCC